UCGAGAAUCUUCCGCAAUGGACGAAAGUCUGACGGAGCGACGCCGCGUGCGGGAUGAAGGCCCUUGGGUUGUAAACCGCUUUCGGAGGGGAUGAAAUCCUCGAGGGUACUCCCUCGAGGUUGACAGAGCCUCAAAAGAAGCACGGGCUAAGUACGUGCCAGCAGCCGCGGUAACACGUACUGUGCGAACGUUAUUCGGAAUCACUGGGCUUAAAGGGUGCGUAGGCGGCGAUUCAAGUCAGAUGUGAAA
rnacentral:rRNA from 1 species